rnacentral:misc_RNA from 1 species
GAGAAAUAUCUGUACGGUAGGAGUAGUAUCUGUUUCACAUAAAGCUGGUGAUUUACUUAAAUUUGGUGCUUUGUAUUUUUGUAGUGAAAUUAAUGAUGUUUGUUUUCCAUGUUGCAAAUUUAAUUAUUAAAUUUAGGUAUAUUAAUAUAUAGGUAUAUUAAUUUAAUAUACCUGAUAAAAACUUUUCUAAAAAUAAGUGUGCAGUGUACGUGAAAUGUAUAACAUAUAUUUAGGGUUACAAUAUAUGACUUGUUGAGUGAGUUGUUUAUAUAAAUAGUGUUUCAACUGAAACCGUGUAGACAUUUGUAAAAACCAUAUAACACAUGAUGAAAAGACUGCAGCUAUUUAUUUGACAUUUGUACCCUGAAUACUUAUUUGUGCCGGAUAUGGCGAACAGUAAAUACUUUUCAGACAGAAGAGAAAAUAGAAUGAAUCCAAUAGAUUAUGAGGACGACUUUGGUAUCGACGUAGAUAUUGAAGUAGAAUUUGUUGGGAGAGAAAGUGAUCUGCAUGUGUUACAGAACGCAUGGAAAAAUCACAAAAUAUUCGGCAUAUUUGGACUUAGAUCCGUGGGAAAAUCGAGACUUGUAAAAGAAUUUUGGAGUAGAAAGAAGACAGAAGGUUUUGAAUUUAUUCACAUAGAUAUGAAAUUAAUUUCCGAUAUAAAUUCAUUGUAUGCGAAUAUAUGUGCAGCUUUGAGAAUGGAACCAAAAAUACAGGCAACAGAUCCCUGCAGAUGGAUUCAUCAUAUAUGUGAAGCACUUAAAACAACCAAUGGAAAACAUUUUAUUUUCUUUUUUGACAACACUGAAGAUUGUCAAGAGUUUAAAGGUGUUAACACUCGAGACUCGUUCCUUUCAUUAUGUACAAGUCUUGUUCGACUGUGCAAAAACGUGAAGGUUUUCAUUACUUCAACCACACGGGUACAGCUUGCGCAACUGAAGAGGGUGUAUUGUAGCCAUGAGCUGUUACCUCUGAGCCAAACAGAAUCGCGUCAGUUACUUAAAUACGUGACUCAGGGGAUAAAACUCGGGGAAUAUGAAGACUCUAUAGUAAAACUAAGUGAAGGAAUGCCACUACUGCUGUUGAUGAUAGGGUCCGAAAUUACCGAUGACGGGGUACUGAUAACUCCAAAGGAUAUGGUGGAGUUUUUGCUCACUUGUAGACUUAAGGCGCUGAGUAGAGAAUUUUACUCUGUGGAAGACAGAGUAGCUGACAUCUACAAAAAGUUCAUUGAUCGGUUAGAUGCGGUAUACAAGAGACACCUCACAGUUCUAGAAUAUAUUCCAGGAUCAUUUAAUGCUGAACAAGCUACGGAAUUACUAGAUUCAAAAUCGGUAGCAACAGUCAAAGGGCAGACAUUGAUACCAAUACGCAGACGACAUGUUUUGAACUAUGACCCUAAGACGAGAAGAUUUAGUAUUCAGGGGAUAAUACGAGAGUGUGUCAAAACAUAUUACACCAUAAAGAAUAUUCCAGAGAUUCGAGCAAGGUACUGUCGAAUAUUCUCAGCCGUUAUGCAGAACAUAUCAGUAAGACUUGGUACAGUAGAAUAUACGCAAGCAUUGGCUGCAUUCGCUGUUGAACAACCCAACUUGCAGAAACUGUUGACAGAAGUCAAUUAUACGAGGCAGGACACUUAUCAGUUCUUUAUUGAAAUGGCGACGAACUGCACGGACCUGAUUGAACGAUACAUGGCAGGUGACGGCGAAGACUUUUACCAGGGCUGUCUUAGUGCUGCAGAUAUGUAUGGAAAAGAACGAGACAAGGCCGCAGGUAAAUCUUGCAGUUGGUAGUAUGUACACAAAUACAAAGGGAUAUCUUUCUCGUGGGGCAGAUAACUACGAAUCUGCACUGAGGGUUUUAGAAAACCAUGGGAGGUCAUUGCAACUAGCAACUGUGUAUCAGAGAUUGGGAUGGAACAUGCUGCAACAAGCGAGAAACCUUGAUGCCAAUAGAUAUUUCCAAAAGUCACUUGCCAUAUCACUAGUUUCGGGAGAAGAGUUUAAGCUGGUAUCUCUGCAGUCAAUGAGCAGUAUGGGUCUCAGCUUGUCACAGUUAGGCAAAUUCGACGAUUCGGAACGGUAUCAUUUUGCUUGUCUAAAGCAACGGCUGAAGGCACUUGGUGAAAAUCAUCCUAACGUUGGUGUAUGCUACAAUAACAUCGGUGUAAUGUACUGAACAGAAAGGUGAUGCCGAUAAUGCGUUCAAGUAUUACAAGAAAGGCCUUGAAGUGAAGGUAAAAUCAAAAGCACCGAUCAUGUCGGUAGUGUUUUCUUUUAGUAAUGUUGCAAAUAUGAGUAGCUCCAUGGGAAACUAUCGGGAAGCCCACAGACUUAUAGAUGACGCUUUGAAGAGAUUAUCAGAAGAAAAGAUGCCUCCUAGAGAAUCUUUGGCAUGCACAUACGAAACAAAAGGAAAAAUAUACCUUCGAGAAGAAAAAUUCAUUGAAGCAGAAGAAAUGUUACAAAAAGCAGUUGAUAUCAGAGAGGAAAUUGCGGAAAAUAUGCUGUAUCUUGAAAGUUUGGUGCACCUUGCAGAUGCCAAUAGAAGAAGCGGAAAUUUUGAAAGAAGCAUUAGUAUUGCGAAACAGGGUCUGAAAUUGAAAACCAAGGCGACAGCCUCUAUGCCGCAAAAUACAUUUGUUGCGGAAUGUCUCGUAUGCAUUGCAGAUGUUUAUGAUAGAACAAACAAUAUUGAAAGGCACAGAGAAACUCUAGAGAAAAUUGAAUCGGAACUUUUGAGACUGGAGCAGGUGUAUCUUUGUCAAUGUAAUGAAAAGGGUUAUGAGAAGAUUAGAACCCAGCUCAAAGAUGUAAAGGAUAAACUAGACAACGCACCUAAUUGAUUAUUGUAGCAUUUUUGUUACGACAAUAUCACUUCAUAACGUCAGGGACAUGGUUCAUUCCUACUUAGUGCACAUUGUUGACUUUUGAUCACCAGAUCAUUCCUAAAACACUGAUAUUGCUUAGGUAAUCGGAUCGGCAUCUGUUUUCAAAUACCUUUUAACUAUUGAUUUGAACGAGAUCAUCAGGAAAUAUAUUGUGAAAUUUACAAGGAGAUCCCUUUGUGAUAUUUAGAAAUGAAUGUACAUGUAUGAAUGGUUUAUUUUAGAAAUAAAUGCGCAUUUGUGAAUGAAAUGUUUAUUUAAGAAAUUAGUGUACGUGUAUAAAUGAAGCGUUUAUUUUAGAAAUUACUGUGCAUGUAUGAAAGGAGGGUGUAUUUUAGGAAAGUGAAUGAUGUGUUUCUUUUAGGAAUGAAUACACUUGUGUGAAUGAAGUGUUUAUUUUAGAAAUAAAUAUACUUGUGUGAAUGAAGUGUUUAUUUUAGAAAUGAACGUACGUUUGUGAAUGUAGUGUUUAGAUCAGAAUUGAUAUAAUUUCGAGUUUUACACCUUUUAGUUGUAUGAAAGUACUGGUAAUGUGUUAUUCAGCAAAUAGAACUCAACCAAAAAUAGACGAGUCCGUUUCAAAUUCUUGUAUCAGAAAUCCACCGAAAAUCGAAUAUUUGUCAACCCAGUAAUCAUCAUCACUUGGUCGGUGAGGUGCGUAAGAUGCAACGUAUUCAAAACAUGUGUGCAAAUCUUGUCCUUAACAGGAAGAGAUUUUAAAGUUCCAAACAAGCAUUGUAUGACUUACAUUGGUUGCCGGUGAAAGCAAGGAUUGAGUUUAAGAUACGUUCUUUCAUGUAUAGCUGUCACAUUGGCAUACCCGAUUAUGAAGAGUUUUCUAACUUUCCGAAAUACUUUCCAUAAUGAAAAAAGUUCCCUUAGCGAUAAUUCAACUGCAUAAAUUAUUUUUAUGGAUUUUAUCUUGCUUCCGCUUUCGU